AGUGGAUGGGGAGCAACCUAGUUGUGCGUGUGUAAAGGUAGUGCCAAGAAAAGCGAUGAUCAUGUUGAAAAUCAAUUCCCGGUACCCGAAACCGACACAGGUGGGCAAGUAGAGAAUACUAAGGGGCGCGAGGUAACUCUCUCCAAGGAACUCGGCAAAAUGACCCCGUAACUUAGGGAGAAGGGGUGCCACCGAGAGGUGGUCGCAGUGAAGAGGCCCAGGCGACUGUUUAGCAAAAACAUAGGUCUCUGCAAACUCGAAAGAGGAGGUAUAGGGGCUGACGCCUGCCCAGUGCCGGAAGGUUAAAGAAGUUGGUCAGUCUUAGGAUGAAGCUAGCGACUGAAGCCCCGGUGAACGGCGGCCGUAACUAUAACGGUCCUAAGGUAGCGAAAUUCCUUGUCGGGUAAGUUCCGACCCGCAUGAAAGGCGUAACGAUCUGGGCGCUGUCUCGGAGAGAGGCUCGGCGAAAUAGGAUUGUCUGUGAAGAUACGGACUACCUGCAUUUGGACAGAAAGACCCUAUGAAGCUUUACUAUAGCUUGGAAUUGUGUUCGGGCUUCCUGUGCGCAGGAUAGGUGGGAGGCGUAGAAGGUAUUCUUGUGGGGAUACUGGAGCCAACGGUGAGAUACCACUCUCAGGAGGCUAGAAUUCUAACUUAAUUAAGGACAGUUUCAGGUGGGUAGUUUGACUGGGGCGGUCGCCUCCAAAAAGGUAACGGAGGCGUACAAAGGUUCCCUCAGACUGGUUGGAAAUCAGUCGAAGAGUGCAAAGGCAGAAGGGAGCUUGACUGCGAGAAGUACAGUUCGAGCAGGGUGGAAACACGGUCUUAGUGAUCCGACGGUGCUGUGUGGAAGGGCCGUCGCUCAACGGAUAAAAGUUACUCUAGGAUAACAGGCUGAUCUCCCCCAAGAGUUCACAUCGACGGGGAGGUUUGGCACCUCGAUGUCGGCUCAUCGCAACCUGGGGCGGAAGUACGUCCCAAGGGUUGGGCUGUUCGCCAUUAAAGCGGUACGUGAGCUGGGUUCAGAACGUCGUGAGACAGUUCGGUCCAUAUCCGAUGUAGGCGUGAGAAUAUUGAGAGGAGCCUUCCUUAGUACGAGAGGACCGGGAAGGACGCACCGCUGGUGUACCUGUUGUGAUGCCAAUUGUAAACGCAGGGUAGCCAAGUGCGGAGAGGAUAACCGCUGAAAGCAUCUAAGUGGGAAGCCCACCUCAAGAUGAGUAUUCUGGUGUAAGGUCACGGGAAGACGACCCGUAAAUAGGCACGAGGUGGAAGUGCAGAGAUGUAUGAAGCCGAAGUGUACUAAUAGACCGUCGGCUUGACC
rnacentral:rRNA from 1 species